rnacentral:rRNA from 1 species
GACAGAGGGUGCAAACGUUGUUCGGAAUUACUGGGCGUAAAGCGCGUGUAGGUGGCAAGGCAAGUCGGGUGUGAAAGCCCUGGGCUCAACCCAGGAAGUGCACUCGAUACUGCCUCGCUAGAGUCCCGGAGAGGUUGGUGGAACCUCUCGGGUGUAGAGGUGAAAUUCGUAGAUAUCGAAGAAGAACACCGGUGGCGAAGGAGACGGCC